AGGGAGGUAGUGACAAUAAAUAACAAUGCCGGGCCUUUACAGGUCUGGCAAUUGGAAUGAGAACAAUUUAAAUCCCUUAUCGAGUAUCAAUUGGAGGGCAAGUCUGGUGCCAGCAGCCGCGGUAAUUCCAGCUCCAAUAGCGUAUAUUAAAGUUGUUGCGGUUAAAAAGCUCGUAGUUGGAGUUCUGCCAGGUGACUUUCGUCCGCCCAAGUGGUGUGUACAGGGAGUGCAUCUGGCCCUUUCAAGGGGAACGUGUCUGCACUUCAUUGUGUGGUGCGAGAUCCUUGACUUUUACUUUGAGGAAAUAAGAGUGUUCCAAGCAGGCUCUCGUCGUGCAUAGCUCAGCAUGGAAUAAUAGCAUUGGACUUCGUUUCUACGCUGUUGGUUGCAAGAAGCGAGGUAAUGAUGAAGAGGGAAUAGUUGGGGGUAUUCGUAUUUCGUUGUCAGAGGUGAAAUUCUUGGAUUUCCGAAAGACGAACUACUGCGAAAGCAUUUACCAAGGAUGUUUUCAUUAAUCAAGAACGAAAGUUAGGGGAUCGAAGAUGAUUAGAUACCAUCGUAGUCUUAACCAUAAACUAUGCCGACUAAGGAUCGGCGGAGCAUCUGUAUAGACUCCGUCGGCACUUUAUGAGAAAUCAAAGUCUUUGGGUUCCGGGGGGAGUAUGGUCGCAAGGCUGAAAUCCAUAUGAC
rnacentral:rRNA from 1 species